AGUUGUUAUGGCAGCUGGGAUCCAGGGCUCUGCUCUCCGGGUACAUACUCGGAACACAAGACAUUAUUCCAGGGUUGAAAGAUAAGAUGGAUUGAAGAAACACAACACAUAAACAAAAGUUAAUUAUGAAGGAUGGAUGGAAAAAUGGAGGAGGAAAGAGACAAGAAUAGGUUCAAGGAUUAAGCAGGUCAUGCUGCUGACUUCAGAUGUUAUUUAUGUGUGGAAAUGUGGCUAAAAAUGAAAGGAGUUAACGACAAUGGCAGAACAGUUUCAGCGAGGGAAAUGUAGAGAUGGACUUUAGAAACAUUCUGCAU